GCUCUGUUGAAUACAGCACUGUUUUUUCCUGUUGCACAGACAGUUUUGAUCCCAUUUAACAGCAGCUACGUGCGAGAGGUAUCUUCAAAUAUUGGCAGAAUUAUUGUUCAGCAACAAGUGUCACAUCAUAUUUCGAAUGAGGAUGGGUGCAAGAAUCUCACAACAGGAAUAAAUUUACGAUGAGAAAAAUAAUUGCUCGUCGUCGGAUGUUGGGCAAUACUGUCAUGGGAUUCUUCUUGUUCCUUCCGAAAUCAGGAAAUGAAACUGCACCAUUGUCUAAACAUUAAUCCUAUACUUGACUCUCAAACUCUGGUAGAACUUUUAUCAGUGCCUGGAAUAUUCUAUGCAAUGCUCUGCUUGGAGAUGUGGUGGAGGAAGGUUCAGUGGAAGCAUUCAAGACGGCAUCGGAUGAUUAUUUGGAUUGAAAUAGAGGGCGAGGGUAUGGGUGAAGCAGGAGAUUAACGCUGUUGCUGCUCGUUUGAAGAGCUAGUGCAGAAAGGAUGGGCCAAAUGCUCUCCUUCUGGGGAGUAACUGUUCUGUGGAUCUGUGAUGGUGACUGAGACACCCAUUAAAUUGGCCAGUGUUUCGUGUUCUUGCUGAGAAAUUUCGAGCGUUUGUGUUAUUAUGUCCCAGACCAAUCCCUACCCUCAAAAAUUAUAUUAAAAAGAUAGUCCAGGCGCCAACGUUUUCUUAUUUUAAAGAUACAUUUAAGGUGGUGUGCUCCUGACGUAAUUUUAUUGGUCAAACUAUUCAACUUUAAGCAAAACAUACUUUACUUUUACAUUACAGUUAAAAUAGAGACAAAAUGAAAAGAAGAGGAUUGGCUUGACCAUAACUCCAU